rnacentral:lncRNA from 1 species
CAAAGAGGAGCUGGCCAAGAAAUGCAGCAUCACAGUAUCACAGGUAUCCAACUGGUUUGGCAACAAACGAAUCAGGUACAAGAAGAACAUCGGCAAAUUUCAAGAGGAGGCCAAUCUCUAUGCUGCAAAAACAGCCGUGACAGCCGCACACGCAGUGGCCGCAGCCGUGCAGAACAACCAGACCAACUCACCCACCACGCCAAACUCUGGUGGAUACCCUCCGUCAUGUUAUCAAUCAGACGGGAGGCUACAGUGACGGCCUUGGAGCAAACUCACUGUACAGUCCGCAUAACUUAAACGCUAAUGGAGGCUGGCAGGACGCAACAACUCCAUCUUCUGUGACUUCUCCUACGGAAGGCCCGGGCAGCGUGCACUCGGAUACCUCUAACUAAUCCUGGCCUCUCCCAGCUGUCAUGCCUUGACAAGCGCAUUCGGAGCAAUAGGAGGAGGAGGGAAGCGUUUUGUAACCCACCACCUACAGCUUUACUGUAAACCCUGUCUUCUUAGAGAACUCGGGAAACCUGUUUUUUAAGGAAUCAUAACCAUUUGUAUUUAAACUUAAGACACACGUUUAAAGGAAAGCACUUUAUCCGAUUAGGCCGAGACGUAACAUUGUUGACAGUUCUUAACUGUCUCAUCCUAAUUUAUUAUUACAUUUUACAGUAAUGGUUCCACAGUUGCCAGUUCCUUGGCCUUAAGGGUAAGAAGUACCAUCUAUGCUAGACCCCAAUUAUAGAGCAGGCAAGGUUCACCCUGCCUACGCUGAGCCCUGGCGGAUUUCCAUGCAGGCUCUCAUCGUUCUCACGUCACGGAUGGGCUUGGAGGGAAGGCGAUGUCUGCCUGUCUUCUUAAGGAAGGCAUUUCAGAACUUCCCUCGCCAUGUUUGUGUUGCCAUCUCUUAUGUUGUAAUUAGGUCAAAGACUGGUGGCCUCCUUUCUCCCUCUGAAGUACCAGAGCCCGGAGUCUGCGCUAAUGAGACCAUGGAUCCAGAUUGCCCUGAGAUGAAGAUCUUGCUGCUACAGAGGUGAAAACAAGACCUGUCUGGGGUUUGACCGUGUGCGCUGGGUGCUGCACAGACUUGUCAAGGUGUGCUCUUCCUCUGGGCAGCCUGGAAAGGCCCUGCUCUCUGGAGUGCUGUAUAUAGUGUAGCAAAAGAGUAUUUAUACAUCCCACCAAUCAAAACACAGCUUUAUUACCUCAUGCGAACUCAUACAAACCAAUAGAAUCCCAACAUGUUCUGUAGCUUAGAGCGCUCACUUACUACCUCUGAACAAUACUCACGCUGUAGUUCGUCUCUUUCUUAUCUUUUUGCAUCUUGUAAUUAACUCUUUGUUUCCCUUCACAAAAUGUAAUGUACAUUGUAAUCUUUUAAAAGAAAACUCAGGGUUGCAUUUGCAACCCUUAAAAAGCCCAGAUCGGCAACAUUGGGUCUGACUCCUAACACGGACCAUCCCAGCUGUUGUAAAUACUGAGACGCGUGUUGAAUGUUCUUCAUCUUGUUACUAAUCCAUAUGAAGAAAAAGGAAAAAAGAAAAAAAAAAAGGCGGGUUCUUGUGAUGCGUUCAGAUUCAGUACUCAGCACUGUACAUUUCACCCUGUGUGGCGGGCCCUCUCCUCCUCUUUUUGUAUUGUAUGCGAUUCUGAAACUGACUGGGUCGUGACAAUAAUUCGUGGCGGUGAUUCUGAUGUAUUAAAAGCGUUCCGUGUUCCUUUCUACUGGCUCACACCCUGGAUUGAAAAGUCUUCCUUGUGGUAGUUAUAUGUAGUUUCAAACAUGAAUAAACUUUGCUUUCCUGAUUAAACCUAGAUGCCAU